rnacentral:rRNA from 1 species
UACGUAGGGUGCAAGCGUUGUCCGGAUUCAUUGGGCGUAAAGAGCGUGUAGGCGGCCAGGUAGGUCGGUUGUGAAAACUGGAGGCUCAACCUUCAGAGGUCGACCGAAACCAUCUGGCUAGAGUCCGGGAGAGGAGAGUGGAAUUCCUGGUGUAGCUGUGAAAUGCGCAGAUAUCAGGAAGAACACCCGUGGCGAAAGCGGCUCUCUGGAACGGUACUGACGCUGAGACGCGAAAGCGUGGGGAGCGAACAGG